rnacentral:rRNA from 3 species
CCGGAGGGAAACCGAGUCUUAAUUGGGCGUUAAGUUGCAGGGUAUAGACCCGAAACCCGGUGAUCUAGCCAUGGGCAGGUUGAAGGUUGGGUAACACUAACUGGAGGACCGAACCGACUAAUGUUGAAAAAUUAGCGGAUGACCUGUGGCUGGGGGUGAAAGGCCAAUCAAACCGGGAGAUAGCUGGUUCUCCCCGAAAGCUAUUUAGGUAGCGCCUCGUGAAUUCAUCUCCGGGGGUAGAGCACUGUUUCGGCCAGGGGGCCAUCCCGGCUUACCAAUCCGAUGCAAACUGCGAAUACCGGAGAAUGUUAUCACGGGAGACACACGGCGGGUGCUAACGUCCGUCGUGAAGAGGGAAACAACCCAGACCGCCAGCUAAGGUCCCAAAGUCAUGGUUAAGUGGGAAACGAUGUGGGAAGGCCCAGACAGCCAGGAUGUUGGCUUAGAAGCAGCCAUCAUUUAAAGAAAGCGUAAUAGCUCACUGGUCGAGUCGGCCUGCGCGGAAGAUGUAACGGGGCUAAACCAU